CCAUCAAUUUCUACUUCUUCUUCUUCUAACAACAAAAAAUGCUCGCACUCUUUCCCUAUUUUUCUUUUCUUUUCUUUUCUGUAAAAUCGAUUUCGUUUUUCUUUUCUCUAUUUUCUAACUCUUCAGUUUUGAGUGACAGGUCGUUACCAUCAUUAUUUUAGCAGGUCAUUGGUUCCCUGUUUAUUUUACAAGUUAGUUUUGCUUUUGUUCAAAUUUGGAAUAUUUGUUUUUUGUUCUCCUAAUUUUGAUUCCUUUCUUAUGAUUUUCAUUUGGCUUUUCUUUGACCGAUUCUAUUGUAUGUUUGAUUGAACAUAUGAAAAUUUUUUCAAUGUGGUUCUAUUACUUGUUGCGUAUAGCUUUGUAUAUUUCUGUUCCAUGAAAAAUAAUUCUUGAGGUGAAGUAUGAUUCUGUGAUGUAUCCGAGAAAGUUUAUUCUGUGAAGCCUCAUAGUUUCUGAUUGCAAGUCUUUGUUCUUUAAGGUAGCUUAGGAAUUUCUUUUAUGAACCAAAGAGCUAUCGGAUAUAGCUGAAACAUUUUAAAUGGCUAUCUACUAGAUUCAUAUUGUUACAAAUUCUUUUUAAAAAUUAAAUUUAUGGUUGAACCCAAGCCUAGAGGUAAAUGUUUUUCUGAAACUGUUGACUUGUCUUAGCCGGAUGCAGGUUUAGCUGCAGCUAUACUGAUGCAGAACCUCAGCAGGAUAUCUAUGCUAAGGGAGAUGAAUAUCACAAAUUUAGAGAGUGUGCCAAAGAACAUUGGGAUUCCAUGAGAUCUUAUUUUCAGAAGUUGACUAUUUGAUGGUAGAAUGAAUGUUCUUCUACAGGCUGCUACUGCAUAUUCAAACGGUGUGAAACUAGACGUUGUCACAUAUACCACACUUAUGAAAGCUCUUAUCCGUGUUGACAAGUUUCAUAAGAAAACUUGUGCAGCCUCUCAUGCCAUCUCAGCCUGGGAAUGUGGGGGCUACUUCUUGUUCAGGAAUAGGUAGCAAUUUGAUCAAGUUACUGAGGAUGCCAUGGUUAAUAGACUGAGCAGUUUCUCCCUUGACGAUAACAACUUUGAAGUGGUGAAGCAGCUUUGUUGCAGCAUUGCCAGUAAAUUUGAUGUUUGAUCUAAAAGUUUUUAAAUGCAUGUUUAUAUAUUUUGGAAUUAUGUUGCCACUGGAAUCUUGUUUUUCUCCUAUUGCCUAUUGGGAACCGAGGCUUGUAAUAGGGGGUUGACUUGUAUGUUUAUGAGGAUGACAGGAUCAAAUGCUAUAUUUGGAAGUUGUUUUGUUGA